GUAGUGGUUGUAGCUGGCUCUCUCGAGAGCAUGUGCACACCCGCCAUCUUUAUCUUUCCACCUGUGCACUUCUUGUAGACUUUGGGAUUUGAAAACUUAUCCGGGGCAACUCGGUCGGGAGGAGCUGCUGUAGCAAUANGGCUCUCCUUGACAAGUCUUCAAAGUCUAUGUUUUUCAUAUACCCCAUAGUAUGUAACAGAAUGUAUACAAAUGAGCCUUAGUGCUUAUAAAACUUAUACAACUUUCAACAACGGAUCUCUUGGCUCUCGCAUCGAUGAAGAACGCAGCGAAAUGCGAUAAGUAAUGUGAAUUGCAGAAUUCAGUGAAUCAUCGAAUCUUUGAACGCACCUUGCGCUCCUUGGUAUUCCGAGGAGCAUGCCUGUUUGAGUGUCAUUAAAUUCUCAACCUUAUUAGCUUUUGCUGAUAAUGGCUUGGAUUUGGGGGUCUUUUGCCGGCUUUUAACAAAGUCAGCUCCCCUUAAAUGCAUUAGCUGGUACCCUCUGGUGGAACCGUCUAUUGGUGUGAUAAUUAUCUACGCCGUGGACAUCUGCCCUUAGAGUAGGUGUGCUGCUUCUAACCGUCUGUUCAUUCGGACAAUACAUAUGACAUUUUGACCUCAAA
rnacentral:rRNA from 1 species